GACGAGGGGUCCAAGCGUUGUUCGGAAUCAUUGGGCGUAAAGCGGGUGUAGGUGGCUCUAUAAGUCAGAAGUGAAAGCCCCGGGCUUAACCCGGGAAGUGCUUUUGAUACUGCAGAGCUUGAAUAUAGAAAAGGGUAGUGGAAUUCCAGGUGUAGUGGUGAAAUACGUAGAUAUCUGGAGGAACACCGGUGGCGAAGGCGGCUACCUGGCCCAACAUUGACACUGAGACCCGAAAGCGUGGGGAUCAAACAGG
rnacentral:rRNA from 1 species